rnacentral:rRNA from 1 species
UCCGUAGGCGGUCUGGUAAGUCAGUGGUGAAAGCCCAUCGCUCAACGGUGGAACGGCCAUUGAUACUGCCAGACUUGAAUUUCCAGGAAGCAACUAGAAUAUGUAGUGUAGCGGUGAAAUGCUUAGAUAUUACAUGGAAUACCAAUUGCGAAGGCAGGUUGCUACUGGUGGAUUGACGCUGAUGGACGAAAGCGUGGGUAGCGAACAGGAUUAGAUACCCUGGUAGUCCACGCCGUAAACGAUGGAUACUAGCUGUUGGGAGCAAUCUCAGUGGCUAAGCGAAAGUGAUAAGUAUCCCACCUGGGGAGUACGAACGCAAGUUUGAA